rnacentral:lncRNA from 1 species
CACAUUAGACCCUGGACCUCCUUGCCCAGUGUCUUAGUCAGGGUUCUCUAGAGUCACAGAACUUAUGGAUAGUGUCUAUAUAGUAAGGGAAUAUGUUAUGAUGACUUACAGUCUGUAGUCCAACUCCCCAGCAAUGGUCAUCUGUGAAUGGGAAGUCCAAGGAUCUAGUCGUUGCUCAGUCCCACAAGGCUGGCAGAUCCAAUAGAUGUGCUGGCAGGUAAAUACAAGCAGGUGAAGAGGAGGGAAUCUUCCUUCUUCCAAUGUCCUUAUGCAGGUCUCCAGCAGAAGGUGUGGCCCAGAUUAAAGGACCUUCACCGACUCCCAGACAGCUGCUUUCAUGUGGCAUCUACUCCUGACUCCAAGAUGGGAGAGGAGAAUGAAGAAGGAAAAGGCGAUGGGAAAAUCUUGGGAAAUACUUGGGUAUUUCUGGUCUGGUAGGCGAUUAAGGCUGGUGC